rnacentral:rRNA from 1 species
GACAGAGGGUGCAAACGUUGUCCGGAAUUACUGGGCGUAAAGCGCACGUAGGCGGCUUUGUAAGUUAGAGGUGAAAGCCCGGGGCUCAACUCCGGAAUUGCCUUUAAGACUGCAUCGCUAGAAUUGUGGAGAGGUAAGUGGAAUUCCGAGUGUAGAGGUGAAAUUCGUAGAUAUUCGGAAGAACACCAGUGGCGAAGGCGACUUACUGGACACAUAUUGACGCUGAGGUGCGAAAGCGUGGGGAGCAAACAGG